GAUGAACGCUGGCGGCGUGCCUAACACAUGCAAGUGGAGCGACGAACCAGGGCUUGCCCUGGGGCCAAGCCGCGAACGGGUGAGUAACACGUGGGUAACCUGCCCCGAUGACCGGGACAACCCGAGGAAACUCGGGCUAAUACCGGAUGUGGUGUACACACAACAAGUGUGUCUACUAAAGGAAGCUUCGGCCUCCGCAUUGGGAUGGGCCCGCGGCCCAUUAGCUAGUUGGUGGGGUAAAGGCCUACCAAGGCAACGAUGGGUAGCUGGUCUGAGAGGACGAUCAGCCACACUGGGACUGAGACACGGCCCAGGACUCCUACGGGUGGCAGCAGUUUCGAAUCAUUCACAAUGGGCGAAAGCCUGAUGGUGCGACGCCGCGUGAGGGAUGAAGGUCUUCGGAUUGUAAACCUCUGUCACCGGGGAAGAAACGCUUUGAGUUAAUAGUUCAAAGCCUGACUUAACCCGGAGAGGAAGCAGUGGCUAACUCUGUGCCAGCCG
rnacentral:rRNA from 1 species